rnacentral:misc_RNA from 1 species
UCCCAGUUAACUGGGCAGUCUCGCUUGACACUUGUAACAAGCGAUAGGGGUUGCGUUCGUUAUCCCACUUAAGGGAACAAUUCAGAUCACGAACUGACGACGGCCAUGCAUCACCUGCCUAACUGCCCGAAGGCCCCUCUGGUUUCCCGGAGAGUUCAGUUAGGUUUCUAGACCUGGAUAAGGUUCCUCGCUUAUCGUCGAAUUAAACCACAUGAUCCACUGCUUGUGCAAGUCCCCGUCUAUUCCUUUGAGUUUUAGCCUUGCGGCCGUACUACCCAGGCGGUUCUCUUAACGCGUUAGCUUCGCCUCUCAGAGGGUCGAUACUCCGAAAAGCUAGAGAACAUCGUUUAGGGCCAGGACUAC